rnacentral:tRNA from 1 species
GGAGAGAUGGCUCAGUGGUUAAGAGCACUGGCUGCUCUUCCAGAGGACCUGGGUUCAAUUCCCAGCACACCA